rnacentral:rRNA from 1 species
ACGAACGCUGGCGGCUGCUUAACACAUGCAAGUCGAACGGAGUGGCGAACGGGUGAGUAACGCGUGAGCAACCUGCCUAUGACAGUGGGAUAGCCUCGGGAAACCGGGAUUAAUACCGCAUAGUCAUAGAUGGGCUCGCGUCUGAUUAGCUAGUUGGUGAGAUAACAGCCCACCAAGGCGACGAUAAGUAGCCGGUCUGAGAGGUUCAACGGCCACAUUGGACAUGAGACACGGUCCAAACUCCUACGGGAGGCAGCAGUGGGGAAUAUUGCACAAUGGGGGACACCCUGAUGCAGCGACGCCGCGUGAACGAAGAAGGUAUUCGUAUCGUAAAGUUCUUUUAUAUGUGAAGCGGUACCAUAAGAAAAAGCCCCGGCUAACUACGUGCCAGCAGCCGCGGUAAUAC